AGGGAGAAAUCAGAAUUUGAGAAUUGGAGAAGUUAGCAGAGGAGAAGAAAAGAAGCGUGAAAGAGAGAAGGGGAGAAAAGAGAAGAAAAAAACCUAGAAUUUGAUCUUCAAGAGGUACAGGAGGUAGAGAUGUGGCUCAUGAGGAGUAGCUUCGGAGAGUCUUAGCUUAUGUUAUUAUUAUUAUUAUUAUUAUUAUAAAAUAAGUGUCUUGCUCUGUAAUGUAACACUGGUUAGAUAUUUUACGUUACUUUUACAUUUAUGUUGAGAGGAUUUUAUAAUCUCUUCUUAUGGAAGUUGUUGAAUAAUUUUCUAAAUGAUGGCGAUGUCGUACUGUUGACGGCCGAAGUGCUUAUGAAAUUCAGUUCUGAGUA